rnacentral:rRNA from 1 species
GAUGAACGCUGGCGGCGUGCCUAAUACAUGCAAGUCGAGCGAACGGACGAGAAGCUUGCUUCUCUGAUGUUAGCGGCGGACGGGUGAGUAACACGUGGAUAACCUACCUAUAAGACUGGGAUAACUUCGGGAAACCGGAGCUAAUACCGGAUGAUAUUUUGAACCGCAUGGUUCAAAAGUGAAAGACGGUCUUGCUGUCACUUAUAGAUGGAUCCGCGCUGCAUUAGCUAGUUGGUAAGGUAACGGCUUACCAAGGCAACGAUGCAUAGCCGACCUGAGAGGGUGAUCGGCCACACUGGAACUGAGACACGGUCCAGACUCCUACGGGAGGCAGCAGUAGGGAAUCUUCCGCAAUGGGCGAAAGCCUGACGGAGCAACGCCGCGUGAGUGAUGAAGGUCUUCGGAUCGUAAAACUCUGUUAUUAGGGAAGAACAUAUGUGUAAGUAACUGUGCACAUCUUGACGGUACCUAAUCAGAAAGCCACAGCUAACUACGU